CCUCUGCUUCCCUAUCGACUCUGCUUCCCAUCACGCGGAGCAGGCAGGCCCGGCCACCCCGCCGGCGCGGCCUUGCUCUUCCAGGUGAGGCGCCUGGGUGCGCAUCCUUCGCAGUUCGGAUCCACCUCCAUGGCUGCGGCUUCCCACCUCCUCUCCUUCUUCCUCCUCCUCCUUCUCCCCGCUUCUAACGCCAUCUACUGCGACGAAGACGACUGCUACGACCUCCUAGGGCUUAAGCAGGACGCGAACGCGUCGGACAUCAAGAAAGCGUACUACAAGCUCUCUCUCAAAUACCAUCCGGACAAGAACCCGGAUCCGGAGUCGCGGAAGCUCUUCGUCAAGAUCGCCAAUGCUUACGAGAUUCUGAAGGAUGAAUCCACUAGGGAGCAGUAUGACUAUGCCAUUGAACAUCCGGAGGAGGUUUUUUAUAACACAGCUCAGUACUAUAGGGCAUACUAUGGACAUAAAACGGAUCCUCGUGCUGUAUUGAUUGGUCUUCUUCUAAUUGUUUCAGCAUUUCAAUACAUAAAUCAGCUAACAAGGUAUAACCAGGCCAUGGAAAGUGUCAAGCAAACUCCUGCUUACAAAAAUAGGUUAAAAGCUUUGGAGUUUGAGCGAACAGGAGGAAUAGCUAGCAAAAAGAAGGGCCACAAGCAGGUGGAUAAGAAAGUUGAAGAAGAGCUAAGUAAUGAGGUUGAAUUGCAAAUUCAUGGGGUUGAAAAACCGUCUGUCUGGAGGCUGUAUGGUGUCCAAUUUAUACUUUUGCCUUACUCCAUUGGCAAGGUGCUUUCUUGGAAGAUUUGUUGGUUUUGGAGAUACCGGGUAAAGAAAUUACCAUACACAUGGGAGGAUGCUUGCUACUUGACUUGUAUUUCACUCCAGAUACCUGUGAAUACAUGGAAAAAUAUUGAACCCUACUGCUGAUGAGGCCCUGACUGACUGGGGUCGAGCUGUUGGGGACUUGGGCUGUCAGCUGUGCUUAGCAUACCAUGAUGGAGUUUUGUUGUGCCAACUAGUUUAAACAUGCCCUGUAUUCCAUGGGACAUCAUCAGAUGAGUCUAGGAAGGAGGACCUUGUGAGAAGACACCUUUGGGAAAAGAGCAACAUGGAGAGGUACACUGCAGAGACGAGAAAGGAAUCAAAGCGUAGGAGGUAGCAGUGUAUACCUGAGACUACAGCAACUUUCAACAAUACAACAUGUUGAACAACAUAUUCGAGUGAAAAAGUUACAGACCAGGUUGAGUUCACCGAUAGCUAAUUGCUAGGGGAAGAAGUCCAGAUACUGUUGUUUUGUUAAGUGUCACGUCACCAUGUUGAGGAAUGAGGAUCCCCCGGGAAGUGCCAUGGUGGAUGGUGCAGAACUAAGAAGCAUAGCGAUUUCGUAACUCGAAAUAAGGAAUCAUGUUUGGACUUUAUUUCUGCAUAACAAACUUGUUUUGUCUAGGGAAUGAACCAUGAACCUAUUAUACACAUGUGCACGGGAAGACACGAUUGAGGUAAUCAAGUGAUCUGUUUUGAAGGCGACUUUUAUAGGUGAUUUAAA